rnacentral:rRNA from 1 species
AAAACAUCGCCUCUUGCAAACUAAUGAAUAAGAGGUCCCGCCUGCCCUGUGACUCUAAGUUUAACGGCCGCGGUAUUUUGACCGUGCGAAGGUAGCGCAAUCACUUGUCUUUUAAAUGGAGACCUGUAUGAAUGGCAUAACGAGGGCUUAGCUGUCUCCUUUCUCUAGUCAAUGAAAUUGAUCUCCCCGUGCAGAAGCGGGGAUAGAACCAUAAGACGAGAAGACCCUAUGGAGCUUUAGACGCCAAGACAGACCAUGUUAAACACCUCCCCAUAAGGAGCCCAAACCAAAUGGUCCCUGCCCUAGUGUCUUUGGUUGGGGCGACCGCGGGGAAACAUAAAACCCCCAUGUGGAAUGGGAGCACCCUCUCCUACAACUAAGAGCUACAGCUCUAAUGAACAGAAUUUCUGACCAACAAGAUCCGGCAAUGCCGAUCAACGGACCGAGUUACCCUAGGGAUAACAGCGCAAUCCCCUUUUAGAGCCCAUAUCGACAAGGGGGUUUACGACCUCGAUGUUGGAUCAGGACAUCCUAAUGGUGCAGCCGCUAUUAAGGGUUCGUUUGUUCAACGAUUAAAGUCCUACGUG